rnacentral:rRNA from 1 species
UACGUAGGGUGCAAGCGUUGUCCGGAAUUAUUGGGCGUAAAGAGCGUGUAGGCGGCCCGAUUAGUCCGCUGUGAAAGUCCAGGGCUCAACCCUGGAAUGCCGGUGGAUACUGUCUAGCUCGAGUCCGGAAGAGGAGUGUGGAAUUCCUGGUGUAGCGGUGAAAUGCGCAGAUAUCAGGAGGAACACCGAUGGCGAAGGCAGGUCUCUGGGCCACUACUGACGCUGAGAAGCGAAAGCAUGGGGAGCGAACAGG